rfam:Schistosoma mansoni strain Puerto Rico chromosome 4, complete genome
ACCCAGCUGACGAGUCCCAAAUAGGACGAAACGGGUGUCUUGGAU